AUACGAAGGGUGCAAGCGUUAAUCGGAAUUACUGGGCGUAAAGCGCGCGUAGGUGGUUUUGUAAGUUGGAGGUGAAAGCCCCGGGCUCAACCUGGGAAUUGCCUCCAAAACUGCAUGACUAGAGUACGGUAGAGGGAAGUGGAAUUUCCUGUGUAGCGGUGAAAUGCGUAGAUAUAGGAAGGAACACCAGUGGCGAAGGCGACUACCUGGACUGAUACUGACACUGAGGUGCGAAAGCGUGGGGAGCAAACAGGAUUAGAUCCCCUGGUAGUCCACGCCGUAAACGAUGUCAACUAGCCGUUGGGAUCCUUGAGAUCUUAGUGGCGCAGCUAACGCAUUAAGUUGACCGCCUGGGGAGUACGGCCGCAAGGUUAAAACUCAAAUGAAUUGACGGGG
rnacentral:rRNA from 1 species